AUUGAACGCUGGCGGCGUGCCUAACACAUGCAAGUCGAGCGGUAACAGGUGUAGCAAUACAUGCUGACGAGCGGCGAACGGGUGAGUAAUGCUUCGGAAUCUACCCAAUGGUGGGGAAUAACCAGCCGAAAGGUUGGCUAAUACCGCAUACGUCCCACGGGGAGAAAGGCAGGGGAUCGGCAAGACCUUGCGCCAAUGGAUGAGCCGAAGUCGGAUUAG
rnacentral:rRNA from 1 species